UGGGGAAUAUUGCACAAUGGACGGAAGUUUGAUGCAGCGACGCCGCGUGGAGGGUGUAGGCCUUCGGGUUGUGAACUCCUUUUUCUCGCGAAAAAGGCACAGUUUUGGCUGUGUUGAUGGUAGUGGGGGAAGAAGCGCCGGCUAACUACGUGCCAGCAGCCGCGGUAAUACGUAGGGCGCGAGCGUUGUCCGGAUUUAUUGGGCGUAAAGAGCUCGUAGGUGGUUCGUCGCGUCUGUCGUGAAAGCCAGCAGCUUAACUGUUGGUCUGCGGUGGGUACGGGCGGGCUUGAGUGCGGUAGGGGUGACUGGAAUUCCUGGUGUAGCGGUGGAAUGCGCAGAUAUCAGGAGGAACACCGAUGGCGAAGGCAGGUCACUGGGCCGUUACUGACACUGAGGAGAGAAAGCGUGGGGAGCGAACAGG
rnacentral:rRNA from 1 species